UGGAUUGUGAAUCCACCAUGCGCGGGUUCAAUUCCCGUCGUUCGCCGUGGAUGUAGCCAAGUGGAUCAAGGCAG
rnacentral:tRNA from 1 species